UGGUAGGAGAGCGUUCCGUAAGCCUGCGAAGGUGCCUUGUAAAGGGUGCUGGAGGUAUCGGAAGUGCGAAUGCUGACAUGAGUAGCGAUAAAGGGGGUGAAAGGCCCCCUCGCCGUAAGCCCAAGGUUUCCUACGCAACGUUCAUCGGCGUAGGGUGAGUCGGCCCCUAAGGCGAGGCAGAAAUGCGUAGCUGAUGGGAAGCAGGUCAAUAUUCCUGCACCAUUGUUAGAUGCGAUGGGGGGACGGAUCGCGGAAGGUUGUCCGGGUGUUGGAAGUCCCGGUCGCUGCAUUGGAGAAGGCGCUUAGGCAAAUCCGGGCGCGUAAUUCAAGGGUGUGGCGCGAGCUCCUUAGGGAGCGAAGCAAUUGGAAGUGGUUCCAAGAAAAGCCUCUAAGCUUCAGUCUAACGAUGACCGUACCGCAAACCGACACAGGUGGGCGAGAUGAGUAUUCUAAGGCGCUUGAGAGAACUCGGGAGAAGGAACUCGGCAAAUUGGUACCGUAACUUCGGGAUAAGGUACGCCCUUGUAGCUUGACCAGCCUGCGCUGGAAGGGUGAAGGGGUUGCAAUAAACUGGUGGCUGCGACUGUUUAAUAAAAACACAGCACUCUGCAAACACGAAAGUGGACGUAUAGGGUGUGACGCCUGCCCGGUGCCGGAAGAUUAAAUGAUGGGGUGCAAGCUCUUGAUUGAAGUCCCGGUAAACGGCGGCCGUAACUAUAACGGUCCUAAGGUAGCGAAAUUCCUUGUCGGGUAAGUUCCGACCUGCACGAAUGGCGUAACGAUGGCCACACUGUCUCCUCCCGAGACUCAGCGAAGUUGAAGUGUUUGUGAUGAUGCAAUCUACCCGCGGCUAGACGGAAAGACCCCAUGAACCUUUACUGUAGCUUUGCAUUGGACUUUGAACCGAUCUGUGUAGGAUAGGUGGGAGGCUAUGAAACCGGAACGCUAGUUUCGGUGGAGCCGUCCUUGAAAUACCACCCUGGUUUGUUUGAGGUUCUAACCUUGGCCCGUGAUCCGGGUCGGGGACAGUGCAUGGUAGGCAGUUUGACUGGGGCGGUCUCCUCCCAAAGCGUAACGGAGGAGUACGAAGGUACGCUAGGUACGGUCGGAAAUCGUGCUGAUAGUGCAAUGGCAUAAGCGUGCUUAACUGCGAGACCGACAAGUCGAGCAGGUGCGAAAGCAGGUCAUAGUGAUCCGGUGGUUCUGUAUGGAAGGGCCAUCGCUCAACGGAUAAAAGGUACUCUGGGGAUAACAGGCUGAUACCGCCCAAGAGUUCAUAUCGACGGCGGUGUUUGGCACCUCGAUGUCGGCUCAUCUCAUCCUGGGGCUGUAGCCGGUCCCAAGGGUAUGGCUGUUCGCCAUUUAAAGAGGUACGUGAGCUGGGUUUAAAACGUCGUGAGACAGUUUGGUCCCUAUCUGCCGUGGGCGUUGGAUAUUUGAAGGGGGCUGCUCCUAGUACGAGAGGACCGGAGUGGACGAACCUCUGGUGUACCGGUUGUCACGCCAGUGGCAUCGCCGGGUAGCUAUGUUCGGAAGAGAUAACCGCUGAAAGCAUCUAAGCGGGAAACUCGCCUUAAGAUGAGAUAUCCCUGGGGACUAGAUCCCCUUGAAGGGUCGUUCGAGACCAGGACGUUGAUAGGUCGGGUGUGUAAGCGCAGUAAUGCGUUCAGCUAACCGAUACUAAUUGCCCGUAAGGCUUGAUCCUAUAACA
rnacentral:rRNA from 1 species